rnacentral:tRNA from 1 species
UCCGACUUAGCUCAGUGGUAGAGCAAUCGGCUGUUAACCGAUUGGUCGCUGGUUCGAGCCCAGCAGUCGGAG